rnacentral:tRNA from 1 species
GGGUGUGUAGCUCAGCCGGUUAGAGCAACGCUCUUAUAAGGCGUAGGUCCCAGGUUCGAGCCCUGGCACACCCACCG